UACGGAGGGGGCUAGCGUUGUUCGGAAUUACUGGGCGUAAAGGGCGCGUAGGCGGCGAUUCAAGUCAGGCGUGAAAGGCCUGGGCUCAACCCGGGACUGCGUUUGAUACUGGAUUGCUGGAGUCCGGGAGAGGAUGGCGGAAUUCCCAGUGUAGAGGUGAAAUUCCGUAGAUAUUGGGAAGAACACCGGUGGCGAAGGCGGCCAUCUGGACCGGAACGUGACGCUGAGGCGCGAAAGCGUGGGGAGCAAACAGG
rnacentral:rRNA from 1 species